GGAACCUAAGAAACCAAGGAAGGCUUAAGAUGCAGAACCUUGCUUCUCUCUGAGGACUGCCUUGUAGGAGGCCAUUUGGAAAGUAAUUUUGAAACACUGCUCCUUUGCCAGUAUCUGAAAGGUGCUGGAUGGUGUCAGCUGGAAGAUGAGAGGCAACCUAAGGUAGCUGAAAAAACUUUGGAUUAGGUGUCAAAAGGAACCCAGAAUACAGACACCAGAGCAACACUCUCAAGUCAUACUUUUGACUACAAUUAAGAGAUGAAAAUGGACGGAUAUCUGAAGAUAGUUAUUCCCUCUGCUCUGAAGGUGAGCAACAUUUUAACAUGUGAGCAACACAGAACUCCACUCCUCUGGAGCUUCUUUCAACUCAGAAUGCUUCAGUUCAGUAAGUCAAUAUAUUACUCUUAAAAAUUAAAGUUUGGUCACUAAGAAGGACUGAACAAAAAUUAUUCCCCUCCCGCCAAACACAACCAGAACAGUUCUAAUCAGGCCCUCUUCUCCCCACAAAAAUAGGGAAGUAGCUGGGCUGAAGGCUUUAAGUGUGACAUUUCAGUUCCUAAAACAUCGCUGCUAUUUGCUCAAAGUUGUAGGUCUAUGUAUUUCCUUCUCCAAUACGUCCCCAUUUAUAAGUUUAUUUCCAUACAUACAAACGUGCACAUGUGUGCACAUGCACACGCACACACACACAUUCACUCUCAAGUAAGACACUUUUUUGUGUUUGUUGAUAAAUUAUGAGGAUUAUGAACUAGGUGUGUGCAGGGUUUCAUAGGUGCUUUGUAAACAUCAGAGUCACUUGGGUCCUUUCCUCCACAAGCCUCAAAUCAAAUUAUGCAACCAAUGACCACUACUUUCCCAGACGCUGUUCACAGGCUGCAUAUUGACGAAGGGCAGAGAAAAAGUCCUCAUAACUGAUGUUUAGGUGGGAAGGCAAAGAGACAAUCUCAGUCAAUCUGAUGUGCCAGGGAAGAAAGCCUAAUGUGCUGUCCACAGGACCGAACUUCAAUACUAAAUCAGGAUCAGGACAACCAUUUGAACUAAGUAAACUGCCUAACGUAUCUACAUCCAAAUCUGUGGGUCUCUUUUGCUUCUGGGCUACUAACUGGCAAAAGUCCUGAGCAGCUCUUAAAAUAUCUGCUUUUCCAUCUUCCGGAGACAGCACCUUCACUGCCAAAUGGCAAUUUAAAACUUGAUCAUCUUUGUCACUACUAUUUGCAAAUUCUGGUGAGUAUUUUGAACAAUCUAGGCCCAGAAGUUCUUGCUGUUUUAAAAUUUCAUCCAUCAAUCUGGAAUUAUUUCUUUUGAAAAUACCUUGGUGGUCGUAGACGCUAAUGUAGGAGAUGCCCACGGCCAUACACCACACCACGAGGCUCGCGAUGUCCGAGAAGCUGGGUUCCUGCUCCACCUGGGUGAUCACCAGGCCCAUAUGCACAGGCAGCUUCUCCAAGGAACGGCCGUCCGCGCGCCAGCGCAUCCGGUGGUGGGCGGCUGCCAGGCACGACCCCCCGCGCGGGUGCCGGUGGUGACGGCGGUUCCUGCCAACUGCCCGGGGCUGGCGGAGCGUGAAGCCGAGAGGCGCUAGGACCGCGGCAGAGGCGGCGCGGCAGCAGCGCCGCCAGAUCCAGUUCCAGGUGCCGAACCCAACGCGGAGCCAGGAGCUUCAGGGACUGGAUCUGGAUAUGGACCAGACACCUCUAGCCACAGUGAUGGCAAUGGCUUCUUCACCAGAUGAACAAUACUUCAAGACAAGCCACUGGAGCAGGUCACGCCACCCGACAACUCCUAGUUCCGCUGCCUCUUCUGCACUCCAAACUCUCUCUUCAAAAACUCCUGGAUUCCCUCCACAAACUGAAGAGUGGAAAUAUUUGCAAAUAAUUACACCCACUUCUCCCCUUGCUAGCAUGGGUAAUAAAACUCACUCUCUUUAUCACACCUC